AUAAUGGGUCAGCGACUUAUAUUCUGUAGCAAGGUUAACCGAAUAGGGGAGCCGAAGGGAAACCGAGUCUUAACUGGGCGUUAAGUUGCAGGGUAUAGACCCGAAACCCGGUGAUCUAGCCAUGGGCAGGUUGAAGGUUGGGUAACACUAACUGGAGGACCGAACCGACUAAUGUUGAAAAAUUAGCGGAUGACUUGUGGCUGGGGGUGAAAGGCCAAUCAAACCGGGAGAUAGCUGGUUCUCCCCGAAAGCUAUUUAGGUAGCGCCUCGUGAAUUCAUCUCCGGGGGUAGAGCACUGUUUCGGCAAGGGGGUCAUCCCGACUUACCAACCCGAUGCAAACUGCGAAUACCGGAGAAUGUUAUCACGGGAGACACACGGCGGGUGCUAACGUCCGUCGUGAAGAGGGAAACAACCCAGACCGCCAGCUAAGGUCCCAAAGUCAUGGUUAAGUGGGAAACGAUGUGGGAAGGCCCAGACAGCCAGGAUGUUGGCUUAGAAGCAGCCAUCAUUUAAAGAAAGCGUAAUAGCUCACUGGUCGAGUCGGCCUGCGCGGAAGAUGUAACGGGGCUAAACCAUGCACCGAAGCUGCGGCAGCGACGCUUAUGCGUUGUUGGGUAGGGGAGCGUUCUGUAAGCCUGUGAAGGUGUGCUGUGAGGCAUGCUGGAGGUAUCAGAAGUGCGAAUGCUGACAUAAGUAACGAUAAAGCGGGUGAAAAGCCCGCUCGCCGGAAGACCAAGGGUUCCUGUCCAACGUUAAUCGGGGCAGGGUGAGUCGACCCCUAAGGCGAGGCCGAAAGGCGUAGUCGAUGGGAAACAGGUUAAUAUUCCUGUACUUGGUGUUACUGCGAAGGGGGGACGGAGAAGGCUAUGUUGGCCGGGCGACGGUUGUCCCGGUUUAAGCGUGUAGGCUGGUUUUCCAGGCAAAUCCGGAAAAUCAAGGCUGAGGCGUGAUGACGAGGCACUACGGUGCUGAAGCAACAAAUGCCCUGCUUCCAGGAAAAGCCUCUAAGCAUCAGGUAACAUCAAAUCGUACCCCAAACCGACACAGG
rnacentral:rRNA from 1 species